GGAGGUGCUGGGGUUGUCGCUGACUUUUGAAAUGGUCGUGCACGCCUCGGUACUCUCACAUACAAUCCAUCUCACCCCUCUUGUGCAUCACCGCGUGGAGGCCCCUUUUGGCUAGUUCUAAAAGGGGUUUUCACGUUUUUAUACAUACACYAUUUUAAUGCAAUGCGUAGAAUGUCAUACUUUUGCGAUCACACGCAAUUAAUACAACUUUCAACAACGGAUCUCUUGGCUCUCGCAUCGAUGAAGAACGCAGCGAAAUGCGAUACGUAAUGUGAAUUGCAGAAUUCAGUGAAUCAUCGAAUCUUUGAACGCACCUUGCGCCCUUUGGUAUUCCGAAGGGCACACCCGUUUGAGUGUCGUGACAUCYUCAAACCUUCUUGGUUUCUCRACCAGGAAGGCUUUGGACUCUGGAGGUUCUUGCUGGCCUUACUUUGUUGAAGCCAGCUCCUCUAAAAUGAAUUAGUGGGAUCUGCYUUGCGGAUACUUGACGUGAUAAGAUAUUUCUACGUCUUGGAUCUYGCACUGUUCGCUCUGGAUCCUGCUUCUAACCGUCUCAUAGAAGACAAUGGGUUAAGUGAUUGCCACUUGGCCCACAAACCUGACCUCA
rnacentral:rRNA from 1 species